ACAAGAGAGCUUGCUCUCUGGGUGACGAGCGGCGGACGGGUGAGUAAUGUCUGGGAAACUGCCUGAUGGAGGGGGAUAACUACUGGAAACGGUAGCUAAUACCGCAUGACGUCUUCGGACCAAAGUGGGGGACCUUCGGGCCUCACGCCAUCAGAUGUGCCCAGAUGGGAUUAGCUAGUAGGUGGGGUAAUGGCUCACCUAGGCGACGAUCUCUAGCUGGUCUGAGAGGAUGACCAGCCACACUGGAACUGAGACACGGUCCAGACUCCUACGGGAGGCAGCAGUGGGGAAUAUUGCACAAUGGGCGCAAGCCUGAUGCAGCCAUGCCGCGUGUAUGAAGAAGGCCUUCGGGUUGUAAAGUACUUUCAGCGAGGAGGAAGGCAUUAAGGUUAAUAACCUUAGUGAUUGACGUUACUCGCAGAAGAAGCACCGGCUAACUCCGUGCCAGCAGCCGCGGUAAUACGGAGGGUGCAAGCGUUAAUCGGAAUUACUGGGCGUAAAGCGCACGCAGGCGGUUGAUUAAGUCAGAUGUGAAAUCCCCGAGCUUAACUUGGGAACUGCAUUGAAACU
rnacentral:rRNA from 1 species